AAGUCAGAUAGGAUACUUCAGUCAAAGAAUAAAGACAUUGUCAUCUCCCUGCCCAAAAUCAAUUUGUUUCUUAACCAUGCCUGUCUGCUAUGCUCUGGUUGCAUUCAGGGUACACAUGGUCUCAUACAU
rnacentral:snoRNA from 1 species